GGUGCCCCCAGGCAGCAUCCACUCUGAGACAGGUGCGGGCAGCCUCUGGGCGGUGGGUCCCUGGGCUUUGGUGUCUCCCUGCCCAGGGUCGGGUUGAGCUCUGUGACCUGGGGCAAGUUCCUUAACUUCUCUGUGCCUUGAUUUCAUUUGUAGGAGAGGGAAACGAUGGUGUCCCUCAGGUUGUGAGGCCCACGUGCUGUCAUUGCUGAAAUCGCCCAGCCUGGGGACAGCUAGGGCACGGCACCUGGGCUCUGGCCUGCCAUCGCUGCUGCAGCUCUGUGCACAGGGGACACUGGCUCCUCCCGCGUUUGCCCCUCUGCCUCUCUCCUUGGGAUUCCCUCUGCCUUUCCGCCCCACAGUCGCUCCCACCCCGGACCCUGCUCGUGGGCGGCCCGGGUCCCCACAGCUUCCUGGGGCUGUGUCCCUGUGGUGGGCAGGGGUUUGUCCUUUGGCAGGCAGAAGGACGGAGCCCAGAGACAUGAGGCCCGUGGCCGUGGGGGCUGGGUCCUGCCAUCCACCCAGAGUUCUUCCACAUGACCCCAGUCACCUUGAGGCUGCAGUAGCUGGUCCCUGUCCAUAGACGAUGGCAGAGAUGGCAUUAAUGACAACAGGAAGGAUUUGCUUAGCACUCGCUAAGGACGUGGGUCUGUGCCAGGCACACGUCCCUAUGAUAUCUCAUUUUAAGAUUCCAGAGUCACAGGGACGACUGUUUUACAGAGAGACACCGAGGCAUGGGGAGCCCCCACCUGCCAGGGCAGCGCAACCCCCACCCACGGAGGUGGCGGCGGGGUCUGCAGGGCACGGGUCCCCGGGCUGCUUGGUGACCUCACUGCAGCUGGGUCAGCCAGGUCAGGGGAACCUCGGACCCCGGACCCUCCAUCAUCAGCCCCGCAGGGUGAGCUUUCUCGCCAAGUGCUGGGGACAGCGACCUCGGACUGCGACCUCUGAAACCCUGAGCCGCAGAAAACCUUUCCUCAUUUUAAGGUGAUCAUCUUGGGAUUUUGUGGCAGCAUCGGAGAGCUGUCACCCACACGCCCUCCUCAGGGUCCUGGCUCUUUCUUUCUCCACCUGAAGAAACAAUAUUUCAGGAUUUAAAAAGUUCCCCAAACACCCAUCUUCUUAUUGACGCCACAGUCUCCACGAGGGUUGAAUGCAUUUGGGGUGGACGGAGAGGACAAUACAACUUCUUCUGGUUGAGGAAGGUGGCCCGAGUGGACAUUCCAGCAAACCUAGGAUGCCUCUCUACGGGACUUCAGCGUGGAGGGUCAAGGCCUGGCCUCCAUCCGAUUUGGGAGGCCCACGGAGAGCUGUGUGGCUAGAAAUACCAGGCGUUUCCCAUCUGGUGAGGAAUUUGGAUCUCCCAUCAGGUAAUGAAUCCUAGCUGUUUAAGAGAAGGAAGCUCUCACCUCCUACACCCCCUCAAGGAUCAGAGGAGCUCCUACAGCUGGAGGUCACCUGCGGCUUGGAAAGUUCCAGGCCCACCCGCUGAGGAGAAGCCCAUCUUGGGGAGGCCAGCCUGAGUUUGCCUCCUGCUGCUGCUUUCUGCCCCUGCUUUCCAUUCGCUCCGAAACUCACCUUUGAAAAUGAGUCACAGUGGGGCGUGGUAGGGCACAUUUGUAAUCUCAGGGGCUCAGGAGGCUGAGGCAGGAGGAUAGUGAGUUCAAAGCCAGCCUCAGCAAUUUUGCGAGGCCCUAAGCAACUCAGUGAGACCCUGACUCUAAAGAAAAUAUUAAAAAGGGCUGGGGGUGUGGCUCGGCAGUUAAGCACUUAUGGGUUCAAUCCCAGGUGCCAUACCAAAAACCAAAAAAUCACUUUAAAAAAUAAACCUAGCAACAUGACUACUGUCACUGGAUGACACUGUCACUUGCCAAAGCAGGAACAGACACAAUCACUGUAAUGCACACCCCCCUGAGCAGCUCUCUGGCGGGCUCUGCGGCCACGUGGUGUCCACCCUCUACCCCGUGUGAAGCUGGGCCCAUCUUCCUACUUCCAGAUGAGGAGAGGGUGGAAAUCUUGCAGUCUGUCAGCAACAGUGGGGACCAGAGAUGACCGGGACCUCCUCCCCAAUCCUGUCACGUGUGUGAAUCGCCUGAUUCCUCUCUGCUUCCUGGCUCCUGCUUGUACUUAAAAGCUUGGGGACCUGGUAUGUGAGCCCCUGUUCCCACUGUGACUGCCAGCUCUCUGUCCCCAAGGCCUGGGGUGACUGACAUAGAAAGAACAGGCCCGUGUGGCCCACUGGUUGGGAGUUUCAGUCCACGGUCUGACAGGCCUGUCAUUCUGGACACGUGGGGAGGCAGCCAUCGCGUGGGCAAGGGCAGUCCUGCCCUGCUGCUGACCUCGUGGCCAGGAUGGAAAACUGAGAGGAAGAGGAAGGAUAGGACCACUGUCCCCUCCAGGGCAUGCCCGUGCCCAGAAGGCCUGGGGCAGGCCCCACCUCUCUCAUGGGCCAGAGGGUGAGGACCAGCCUUCAGCACAUGGGCCUCUGGGGACAAACAACAGCACCUCCCACCCACUAUGAAGCACUUAGGCACCCAGUACCCAGCACCCGUCAGCUAGAGCAGCCCCCACGGCCCCAACCUCACUGAGGAGGACGGGGAGAGGAUGCGCCCCCAGCACGGGGCAUGUGGCAGGUUCUCAGGUGAGGGAAUGAGUGACAAUUCAGACUCUGCCCCGGGGACCUUCCUGCCAGCACAGCGGGAUGUGGGGGUGCCUGUCCACCUAGGCUCUGGCCUCUGUCCUCACCGCACCACGAGGCUGUAGGUGCCAGGGGACCUCGCGUGCCUCUCUCAGGCUGCUGCACACAUUGGACAGGUGAGCCAGCUACCAGAACCCUGCCCUGGCCCCUAGGGACGGGUGCAGCCCGCCCAUCCCCUGCUGGGACUGUGGAUCUGGGAGAGGCCAGGCUCUUGGAAGGAGCUGAGGACACUUGGCUAGGACCCCAGAUGCUCUUGCCUGUCCCCCCGCCCCCGCCCGCUGGGGUGCAGCCUCUGCCCAGACCCAGGAGGUAUUUUUAGCACACAGGCACCCGCACAGCCCUCUACUCUCUGACCAAAUUUAGAAAUCUCAAGAGUCUUUGCUGCAGGCACAAUGAAUGAAAAGCCUCCAGCCCCGCGGCCCUGGAGCCAGCCGUGGGAGAGCUGGGCUGACCGCUGACUGCUGGGGAAGCCCGGGAUUAGGAGCAGGAGAGAGAAAGACGUGGGAUCACGUGUGUGGCCUGGAUCAACCUGAGGAAAGGCGAAGCGAACCCCACAUGACGUUGCUGGAAUCUACCCGGCCGGAGAGGGGCACGGGCAGGACAGCCGCUGAC
rnacentral:lncRNA from 1 species